rnacentral:rRNA from 1 species
UACGUAGGGGGCAAGCGUUGUCCGGAAUCAUUGGGCGUAAAGAGCGCGCAGGCGGUUGAUCAAGUCGAAUGUGAAAGCCCCCGGCUCAACCGGGGAAGUGGGGCCGAAACGACCCGUCUCGAGGGACGUAGGGGGAUCUGGAACUUCCGGUGGAGCGGUGAAAUGCGUUGAGAUCGGAAGGAACGCCCGUGGCGAAAGCGAGAUCCUGGACGUUUUCUGACGCUGAGACGCGAAAGCUAGGGGAGCAAACGGG